UUCUUUGUCUGAAUGUUUACUUUGAGAAAAUUAGAGUGCUCAAAGCAGGCUUUCGCCUUGAAUAGUUUAGCAUGGAAUAAUAAAGUAGGACUUUGGUUCUAUUUUGUUGGUUUUAGGUACCAAAGUAAUGGUUAAUAGGAACAGUUGGGGGCAUUCGUAUUUAACUGUCAGAGGUGAAAUUCUUAGAUUUGUUAAAGACGAACUACUGCGAAAGCAUUUGCCAAAGAUGUUUUCAUUAAUCA
rnacentral:rRNA from 1 species